CGGGGGGGGCAAGCGUUGUUCGGAAUUACUGGGCGUAAAGCGCGCGUAGGUGGUUUGUUAAGUUGGAUGUGAAAGCCCCGGGCUCAACCUGGGAACUGCAUUCAAAACUGACAAGCUAGAGUAUGGUAGAGGGUGGUGGAAUUUCCUGUGUAGCGGUGAAAUGCGUAGAUAUAGGAAGGAACACCAGUGGCGAAGGCGACCACCUGGACUGAUACUGACACUGAGGUGCGAAAGCGUGGGGAGCAAACAGG
rnacentral:rRNA from 1 species